GUGUGUCAGUCCUGUAAGUCGCUUUGGAUAAAAGCGUCUGCUAAAUGACCUGUA
rfam:Gasterosteus aculeatus cont1.013161, whole genome shotgun sequence.